rnacentral:tRNA from 1 species
AAAAUUUUAGUUUAUCUCUAAAACAAUUUAUUUACUAUAAAUUUAUUCAUUACUUAUGAAAAUUUUA